GACGAACGCUGGCGGCGUGCCUAAUACAUGCAAGUCGAACGAGAGCGACCGGUGCUUGCACUGGUCAAUCUAGUGGCGAACGGGUGAGUAACACGUGGGUAACCUGCCCAUCAGAGGGGGAUAACAUCCGGAAACGGAUGCUAAAACCGCAUAGGUCUUCGAACCGCAUGGUUUGAAGAGGAAAAGAGGCGCAAGCUUCUGCUGAUGGAUGGACCCGCGGUGCAUUAGCUAGUUGGUGAGGUAACGGCUCACCAAGGCCGUGAUGCAUAGCCGACCUGAGAGGGUGAUCGGCCACAUUGGGACUGAGACACGGCCCAAACUCCUACGGGAGGCAGCAGUAGGGAAUCUUCCGCAAUGGACGCAAGUCUGACGGAGCAACGCCGCGUGAGUGAAGAAGGUUUUCGGAUCGUAAAACCCUGUUGUUAGAGAAGAACAAGUGCUAGAGUAACUGUUAGCGCCUUGACGGUAUCUAACCAGAAAGCCACGGCUAACUACGU
rnacentral:rRNA from 1 species